CCCUACGGGGGGCUGCAGUGGGGAAUCUUGCGCAAUGGGCGAAAGCCUGACGCAGCGACGCCGCGUGAGGGAGGAAGGCCUUCGGGUUGUAAACCUCUUUCAGGAGGGACGAAGCUACUCGGGUGAAUAGCCCAGAGGGUGACGGUACCUCCAGAAGAAGCCCCGGCUAACUACGUGCCAGCAGCCGCGGUAAUACGUAGGGGGCAAGCGUUGUCCGGAUUUACUGGGCGUAAAGCGCGUGUAGGCGGCCACGCAGGUCCGGUGUGAAAGCUGGGGGCUUAACCUCCAGACGUCGACGGAAACCGGGUGGCUAGAGUCCGGAAGAGGAGAGUGGAAUUCCUGGUGUAGCGGUGAAAUGCGCAGAUAUCAGGAAGAACACCAAUGGCGAAGGCAGCUCUCUGGGACGGUACUGACGCUGAGACGCGAAAGCGUGGGGAGCGAACAGGAUUAGAUACCCUUGUAGUC
rnacentral:rRNA from 1 species